GAUGAACGCUAGCUACAGGCUUAACACAUGCAAGUCGAGGGGCAGCAUGGUCUUAGCUUGCUAAGGCCGAUGGCGACCGGCGCACGGGUGAGUAACACGUAUCCAACCUGCCGUCUACUCUUGGACAGCCUUCUGAAAGGAAGAUUAAUACAAGAUGGCAUCAUGAGUCCGCAUGUUCACAUGAUUAAAGGUAUUCCGGUAGACGAUGGGGAUGCGUUCCAUUAGAUAGUAGGCGGGGUAACGGCCCACCUAGUCUUCGAUGGAUAGGGGUUCUGAGAGGAAGGUCCCCCACAUUUGAACUGAGACACGGUCCAAACUCCUACGGGAGGCAGCAGUGAGGAAUAUUGGUCAAUGGGCGAGAGCCUGAACCAGCCAAGUAGCGUGAAGGAUGACUGCCCUAUGGGUUGUAAACUUCUUUUAUAAAGGAAUAAAGUCGGGUAUGGAUACCCGUUUGCAUGUACUUUAUGAAUAAGGAUCGGCUAACUCCGUG
rnacentral:rRNA from 1 species